UGAGAGUCAGGAGCUUUUGUUAUCAUUCCAUUCUCUGCUUUCCUUUCAAGCCGUCUGAUGAAAUCCUUUCUUCUAUUCUUUUAGUACAGUUUUAAUAUAACAUACAUCAUAAAAUAAUAAAUCAGCCUUCUGAAACACGGAGUCAGCACUCUCGUCUCUUCCCUCGUCCUGGGACCCCCGUGAACAGCGCCACAAGAAGGCAGCACGAGAGCAAUCCUGGGACCCGAGGGAGGCAGAUGGGAUGGCGGAUGCAGGCUGUGGGGCAAGCCCAGCAGAGCCUUGGCGUCAGUGGAUCCGAAGGAAAACCCAAAGUCCCAAACCUCAAGUGUCAGCCAGAUAAAACCAUCCCAACAAGAGCCUGCUCCAGGACUGAGAGCCAGCAGGAGAUGAUUCUUCAUGCAGCAAAAUCCCCUGCCAGUGUGUUUCCAAAGAAAACAUCACUGGAGAGCACUGAGAGGGAAGCAGUGAGCAAACCCUGAGUUUGGUGCCCUGGACCAGCCCCCUCUUCCCCUGUUUUCCCCAGGAAAAGCCUCAGAAUAACAGAAAAUCCUCAAAUGUUUCUUUUCCUGCUUAUUUCUUUGGUUGUUCCAUUUUCUCAAUGACUGGAUAGGAAUUGCUGGGUGCCACCAACACCCAGCUGGUGCUCCAAGGUCCUCCCUGCCUUGGGAUGGACAAGAGGCAUCCUAGGCUGGAGCAAGGAAGGAGAGAGGUCCCAAAAUCCUGGGGGCAGGAGGGUGGAUCCUGCACUGAAGGUGUGCUGGUGACACUGCUGCAGUGUCCCUGUGGUCCCCUACAGGAGCUGGACACAGUUUCAGGUCUCAGGGUGGGACUGCUGGCAGCAUUCCCAUCACCAGCACUUCUUCAGCAAGCUGUGAAGGACAGCCCAGUUACCCCUCUAGGAGGAGUGCAUCCCACAGAUUAUUUCAUUCUUUGCCUUCCACUGUGUGCCUCUGAUACAAUAAAGAAUCAUUGACAACCAGUGGGA